UGGCUAUGAUCUGCCUUGUUCAAGCUGAGA
rnacentral:piRNA from 1 species